rnacentral:lncRNA from 1 species
GCACAUCUCGUGAUUCCUCACAGUAACCCUCUUCCACAUGGUGUCUCAUGGAUUCAGGCUCUGUAUUUGAAGACUGUACCAUCUCAACUCAUGGCUUUGAGAGUUACUGCUUUUAAAUGCCUCAGCUCAGAAAAGGCACACACAUCAUUGUAAUUUGCUCCUUGUUUUGCUCUCACCUACUGGGCACAUGACCUCAGUCUAAGUGCAUGGAGGCUGGAAGAUGCAGGGUAGCACACAGAAUAUUUGAAUAAGAGUGCCCUGGAAGCAUGAGGAAGGAAGCAAUUAAUUUGGCCCAGGAGAGCUGCAAAAAGUUCCAUAGAAACCAUGAUACUGGAGCAGAGUUUUGAUCAAUGAGUACUUUCCCAGAACUUGGGUUGGAAGGAGGGCAAUCUAAGAAGAAAAAGGCUGAUGCAAAGGCUCAGAGGCAUGGUUUGCAUAUCCAUCAUAGUUCAUGACUGACAAUCUAGAGGUUGGAGCUAACAUUGAAAAACAUAUUGAUUAUUAUGGGACCAAGUGUUUCCCAAAUUAGGAUCUUCUGAUUCAAAGACCUACUACAUCCUAGACAGGGCUCCAGGUGUUAGAGAGGGGCGUAUGGAGUAUUGAGACCUACUGCGUGUGCAGACCGGAUGAAGGGCUGUGUUAAUGACUACAGCAGAAGCAGUGACCCAGAGAAGGUUGGUGAGAUGAACUUCGUCGAAGUU